rnacentral:lncRNA from 1 species
GAAUAUGGUGCCCAGCAAGAGUGACCACACAACACUCCCUCAUGGAGGUGGAUUUUGUCAAGUCACCGCUUCAAUGGACAUUGGAAGACCAUAGUGCUCACCUUGUACUAGUACGUUCUAUUCUGCAAAGACAGAAACAAAAUCAUCCCAAUUUGACAAAAACGCUGGGAGAAAUCUUAUUUGAGGUGCUUAGCAGAGAACGGGAUCAUCUUGCUGUAGGCGCAAUCAGCUCCAAACACUAGGCCGGUGGAACCAGGGGAGAUACGCAACUCAGAAGAGUGUGGAAACCCUUUCAGGCACCAUAGCUUCUAGUCUGUUGCUCGAGUCCGGAAACAUCCAUUGGAGGGAAUCUCUCUUGGGGGCCAUGAGAAAAAGGGGUCCGUGGCAUGGGAGCCAGUGAGACCACUGGAGUACACGGCAAUAUACCGGAAUGAAGGGACUAGGCGAUGGGGUAGCACCUGAGUGCUAAAAGCCCGAUUCGGGCUCGCUCUCUGGAUGCUGACAACGACAUUCAUUGUUCGGGCAGGAGCAGGAAAACGCUCUCUGGGGUGCCUGACCAGCCUGACCGGGAAGGCCGGGCCCUGUCCGCUGUGGGUCAGCAGUCUCCACCUGAGAGGCCAGCAACUGUCCUCCGAGUGCAGGGUCAGAGGCCCUGCCGGGACACUUGGAGCAUAGCGUUCCCCCCAUGUGUGGCGGGCGCUGCGGGUGACAAAGAGUAGAACGCAGCUGACAAGGUGCGGGAAGGGUUGAAAGUGAGGGCCGGCACGGCAGGGUGGGCUGGGAGCACCUCCCGCUCCUUCUGGCGACCGCCUCGCACAGAGUUGCGCCUCAGAGACCGAUUCUCCGGGCUCGGUACCCCCGUAGGGAGCGUGAACACGCGCCCCUCCCCCUGCGCCUCGGGUUUGGGAGGACGUCUGCGCGAGGGGCAGAGCCUUGUAGGUAGGGCCCGGAGAGAUCCGAGCGGCGAAUCCGGGCGUCCUCCCCAGAACUGAAACCUGCGCGGCGGCCGCGGCGGGGGCGGCGGAUUCCGAAGUCCCGGGGCGGCCGGGCGACCACCGCGCUGUGCGUGGCUGCGUCGGGAGCUGGCGCCCGGGAGUGGCCCCGGGGGCCCGGGCGGCGGCUCUCCCUGCUCCCCUCACAGCGAUCCGCAGCCGGGGAGCCUGCCGUGCUCGCCCUCGCCGGCCGUGUGCGGCCCCCGCUGCGGUCGGCGGGCUCCUGUGUCCAGCACGGGUCUCCACCAGGGCAGGGCUGGCGACGACGUCCUAGCGGGUGCCCGAGCCACGAACAGGAUCCAGCCCUCGCCGUAAUCUCAGGCAUCUUGGCCAAGCUGACGUUUUGGAAGCCUUUC